GGCCCCUUUCUUUUCUCUCUCUCUUUUUUUCUUUCUUCUCUCUUUUUCUCUCUCUCUCUGUGGCUGGAACCCCCACCCUCAGGCAGCUCGGCGACGGGGACGACGACACCCCUCUCUCUCCGACUUCCGUCCUUCUUCGGUGACACCCCUCUCUUUCUCUUCCGCAGCCACACAUAUGUUGUGGAAUCUAUGAAGCCAUUUUUUCAUGAGCAGUGGGAUUCCUGGAGAGAGAUACCAUACCAGAUCAGAGUGAAUAUGUGGCAUCAAUUCAAGACUCAAUGUGUAUGGCAACCUCAGUAUGAAAUUCAGGUGAAUGCUAAUUUUGAGAAGAGAGAUUUAUAAAGGAUUAAAGAUACUCAUUUUGUUACUCGGAGCGGUAGCAACAAGCCCAAUUGGUUGUGUCAAGAUGUCUGGCUUCAACUUUGGAGAAGUUGAAUACCGAUGAAUGGAAGCAUAAGAGUGAACAAGGAAAGGCUCUGUUCGCCUCCAGUAAAGGUGGUUCGUUGCACACUGGAGGUUCAAUUAGGUUUGCGGCCCAUUGAUUGAGAUUGGAAAAGACACAUGGGAGAAAUGUGUCUCAUACUCAUGUCUUUGAGGAGACACUUAAGAAGAAGAAGGAGGAGGAGGAGGAGGAUGGUACAAAUAAAGGAUGAGUCGGACAGCGUGCAUCAGAGACAUAUGAAGGACAUCAAAGAAGAUUGGAGGAAUGGCAACAAACUCAGCCUGAUUCCCAACCGUCGCCCAAAGAUAUGACUUCAAUAUGAACACAUGCAGCUGAUGGAGUAAAUAAAGGUAGAGUCUACGGGUUUGGAAUACAGCAAUCCUCCACUCGUCCAGCUGCAUUAUUCAGUGGUGCUUCUGCUUCACCCAAAGAAAUUGAGACUACGUGGACACAAACUAAUGAAUUGGCGCAACAACGGAACACUGCUCAAGAAACAAUAAGUAUGAUGCGAACAUUUAUGGAAAAGUAUGGCAACCAACGUACAUUUGAGGAAUCUAACAAUGAGGAGAUUGAAACUGAUAAGGAAUAGUAUUUGGAAUGUGUAAUAUGGUAUUUAGACUUGAUUGGUUUUGACUUGGUUGGUUUUAAGACUUGGUUGUGAAUGUGUUUUGCAUAAUAUGUUUUCGACUUGAAUAUCAUUUGGUUGAAACGUUUGGACUUUAAUGUGGUUUAAUAGAAUUGUUUACACUUGUUUGAA